GACGAACGCUGGCGGCGUGCUUAACACAUGCAAGUCGAACGGAAAGGCCCUGCUUUUGUGGGGUGCUCGAGUGGCGAACGGGUGAGUAACACGUGAGUAACCUGCCCUUGACUUUGGGAUAACUUCAGGAAACUGGGGCUAAUACCGGAUAGGAGCUCCUGCUGCAUGGUGGGGGUUGGAAAGUUUCGGCGGUUGGGGAUGGACUCGCGGCUUAUCAGCUUGUUGGUGGGGUAGUGGCUUACCAAGGCUUUGACGGGUAGCCGGCCUGAGAGGGGGACCGGCCACAUUGGGACUGAGAUACGGCCCAGACUCCUACGGGAGGCAACGGAGGGGAAGAUUGCACAAUGGGCGGGAGCCUGAUGCAACAACGCCGCGUGCGGGAUGACGGGCUUCGGGUUGUAAACCGAUUUCGCCUGUGACGGAGCGUGAGUGACGGUAAUGGGUAAGGAAGCACCGGCUAACUACGUG
rnacentral:rRNA from 1 species